rnacentral:rRNA from 1 species
UACGUAGGGUGCAAGCGUAAUCGGAAUUACUGGGCGUAAAGCGUGCGCAGGCGGUUGUGUAAGACAGAUGUGAAAUCCCCGGGCUCAACCUGGGAACUGCAUUUGUGACUGCACAGCUGGAGUGCGGCAGAGGGGGAUGGAAUUCCGCGUGUAGCAGUGAAAUGCGUAGAUAUGCGGAGGAACACCGAUGGCGAAGGCAAUCCCCUGGGCCUGCACUGACGCUCAUGCACGAAAGCGUGGGGAGCAAACAGGAUUAGAACCUACCGUA